ensembl:snoRNA Gm56318 predicted gene, 22957
UCAUGGGCUUGCAUUCUUGGCAGAACACUCUGCUGUGCCUCUCAUAAUAUUCCAUACCAAAGAAAACUGUGGCCUUGUGUUGUCUUGAUGAAUGUAGGGUGCUGGCAGUAUAGUAGGCUGUAUGGUG